GCAAGGCCUUGCGCUCUUUGAGCGGCCGAUGUCAGAUUAGCUAGUUGGUGAGGUAAAGGCUUACCAAGGCGACGAUCUGUAGCGGGUCUGAGAGGAUGAUCCGCCACACUGGAACUGAGACACGGUCCAGACUCCUACGGGAGGCAGCAGUGGGGAAUUUUGGACAAUGGGGGCAACCCUGAUCCAGCCAUGCCGCGUGAGUGAAGAAGGCCUUCGGGUUGUAAAGCUCUUUCGGCCGGGAAGAAAUCGCAUGGGCCAAUACCCUGUGUGGAUGACGGUACCGGAAUAAGAAGCACCGGCUAACUACGUGCCAGCAGCCGCGGUAAUACGUAGGGUGCGAGCGUUAAUCGGAAUUACUGGGCGUAAAGCGUGCGCAGGCGGUUUUGUAAGACAGGCGUGAAAUCCCCGGGCUUAACCUGGGAACUGCGUUUGUGACUGCAAGGCUAGAGUACGGCAGAGGGGGGUGGAAUUCCACGUGUAGCAGUGAAAUGCGUAGAGAUGUGGAGGAACACCAAUGGCGAAGGCAGCCCCCUGGGUCGAUACUGACGCUCAUGCACGAAAGCGUGGGUAGCAAACAGGAUUAGAUACCCUGGUAGUCCACGCCCUAAACUAUGUCAACUAGGUGUUGGGUGGGUAAAACCAUUUAGUACCGUAGCUAACGCGUGAAGUUGACCGCCUGGGGAGUACGGCCGCAAGGUUAAAACUCAAAGGAAUUGACGGGGACCCGCACAAGCGGUGGAUGAUGUGGAUUAAUUCGAUGCAACGCGAAAAACCUUACCUACCCUUGACAUGCCAGGAACUUGCCAGAGAUGGCUUGGUGCCCGAAAGGGAGCCUGGACACAGGUGCUGCAUGGCUGUCUUCAGCUCGUGUCGUGAGAUGUUGGGUUAAGUCCCGCAACGAGCGCAACCCUUGUCGUUAAUUGCCAUCAUUUAGUUGGGCACUUUAACGAGACUGCCGGUGACAAACCGGAGGAAGGUGGGGAUGACGUCAAGUCCUCAUGGCCCUUAUGGGUAGGGCUUCACACGUCAUACAAUGGUCGGUACAAAGGGUUGCCAAGCCGCGAGGCGGAGCCAAUCCCAGAAAGCCGAUCGUAGUCCGGAUUGCAGGCUGCAACUCGCCUGCAUGAAGUCGGAAUCGCUAGUAAUCGUGGAUCAGCAUGUCACGGUGAAUACGUUCCCGGGUCUUGUACACACCGCCCGUCACACCAUGGGAGCGGGUUCCGCCAGAAGUAGGUAGCCUAACCGCAAGGGGGGCGCUUACCACGGCGGGGUUC
rnacentral:rRNA from 1 species